rnacentral:misc_RNA from 1 species
CUGCGGAGGUAGAUGAGGUUUUUGGGAUACAAUUCACAAUCCGCUGCCAAACGAUGCCACCAAGACGAUUAUGCAUUGAACGAUUAUCUUCACAACCAAGCACUGAUUCCUCCACCGAAUUUUCAUGACUGUAAUUUCCAUAAUUUGAAAUUGGGCCGACAUGUUUCUCUUCUCUUAACAAAUGCAUGUCAAGAAUGAGGCCCCUAAUUGNNNNUCUCGGUACCGGUUUUUUCUGUCAGCACCCUAAAUACCUCUUUAUGAUUACAUAUUCUACUGCGCUCCCCCGGUUCAUCAGGAGAUUCUUGGCGAACAACUUCCCUACCCAUGUCUCUAACCAACUGAUGCAUCGCUAGGUUGUUUCUUUCAUUGAUUUCAAUGAGACAUCUAUCCAAGAGAUGUUGAACUCCAAUUAUUGCUUCGAAGCCACAGCCCUCUAAAAUUUUAACUACAACAUCUUUAUCCCACCCAAUGAAGAAAAAAACUAUGUGAAGAAAUAUGCUUCGAUGACGAUCAUUAUGUAGAGAAUCAAAGCUUUUUCUGAGAAUCUUUUGAAUUCGACUAUCAGGAAUUUCUUGCAGUUCCUUAAUCUCACUUUUCCAUUCAUCUAUACUUCUGCGACGAAGAAAGGAGCCUAAAACACAAAGAGCUAAUGGAAGACCAUCACAAAGGCUCACUAAACGUUCAGAGUGCUCAUAGAAAUUUUCAGGAGGAUCUUCUCGUCCAAAGGCAUGCAAGGCGAAGAGUUUAUGUGAAUUUUCAACACUCAAUGGCUCAAUGUGAAGUUUCCAACAACCUUCACUUAACAAACACUUCAAUCGAGUU